GAUCAUGGCUCAGGAUGAACGCUAGCUACAGGCUUAACACAUGCAAGUCGAGGGGCAGCAUGACCUAGCAAUAGGUUGAUGGCGACCGGCGCACGGGUGAGUAACACGUAUCCAAUCUACCGGUUAUUCCGGGAUAGCCUUUCGAAAGAAAGAUUAAUACCGGAUAGUAUAACGAGAAGGCAUCUUUUUGUUUAUUUAAAGAAAUUUCGUAUAACCGAUGGGGAGUGCGUUCCAUUAGUUUGUUGGCGGGGUAACGGGCCC
rnacentral:rRNA from 1 species